rnacentral:rRNA from 1 species
AGCGAACGCUGGCGGCAGGCUUAACACAUGCAAGUCGAGCGGGCCCUUCGGGGUCAGCGGCGGACGGGUGAGUAACGCGUGGGAACGUGCCUUCUGGUCUGGAAUAACCCUGGGAAACUAGGGCUAAUACCGGAUACGCCCUUUUGGGGAAAGGUUUACUGCCGGAAGAUCGGCCCGCGUCUGAUUAGCUAGUUGGUGGGGUAACGGCCUACCAAGGCGACGAUCAGUAGCUGGUCUGAGAGGAUGAUCAGCCACACUGGGACCGAGACACGGCCCAGACUACUACGGGAGGCAGCAGUGGGGAAUAUUGGACAAUGGGCGCAAGCCUGAUCCAGCCAUGCCGCGUGAGUGGUGAAGGCCUUAGGGUUGUAAAGCUCUUUUAUCCGGGACGAUAAUGACGGUACCGGAGGAAUAAGCCCCGGCUAACUUCGUGCCAGCCGCCGCCGUAA